GUAGGUUGGCUGUGUUCCAUAUUCUAAUGGGAAAAUUUGUAUGGUUUCUGCAUCCUAGUUCGAAAUUUCCCUGUAUUUCAGCCCCCUCCGGCAGAGAACUGCUUUUUUUUUUCCUAUUUCUGUCCUUGUUAAAAUGAAACCUGGCCACCAGCUAGUUAUCUGCAACAUGUUACUGCUUCUUGCACUCUUGAAGUUCCACCAUUGGAAAGCUAUCCUUGUCUGAUUAGCCAGUCCACGUGGUGGACAAUUGCUUUGUGCCAGGGCCUUUAGGCCAGGGUUGUGCAAAAG